CAUUAUGGGAAGAUGGAGAAGUCUUGUUCUGAAAUCUUGCGAGGUGACUUGCCAGAAAACGGCGGUGUAGAUCCGUAGAUGUUUAUAGUGGGGAACAUGAGCAGGAGUG